CACCACACCUGUCUUUGGGAUGAACCCUGACCUGUGUGAUGCAGGCUGCUUUGAUCACAGCCCCUGGUCAUUGUGAUGGGUGGCCAGCUCACCUCCCGGGUGUCUGCCCCUGACUCAGCCUCUCAGAGCAAGUCACUGAUGUUCCAGCACACCUGAGCCAGCAUGAGCUCUAGCAGCAGCAUUGCAAGGUACAUGGGAGGCAUGGCCUUUACGGUGCUCUACAGCCGGUCGUUUCCAGGAAAGGAAGGAUGGCUAUAAUCCAAAAGUGAAACGUAAUAAAUGUCGACAAAGAUACGGAGAAACUGGAGCCCUUGUGUGCCCCUGGUGGGAAUCGGAAGGUGGCACAGCCACUGUGGAAGACAAGAUGGCGGUUC